rnacentral:rRNA from 1 species
UACGUAGGGAGCAAGCGUUGUUCGGAUUUACUGGGCGUAAAGGGCGCGUAGGCGGCAUAAUAAGUCAUCUGUGAAAUCUCCGAGCUUAACUCGGAACUGUCAGCUGAUACUGAUGUGCUAGAGUGCGGAAGGGGCAAUCGGAAUUCUUGGUGUAGCGGUGAAAUGCGUAGAUAUCAAGAGGAACACCUGAGGUGAAGACGGGUUGCUGGGCCGACACUGACGCUGAGUGCGCGAAAGCCAGGGGAGCAAACGGG